AUUAGCCCCGCAACGGGAAAGGGUAAACCCCGCCAGGCCCGAAAGGGAGCAACGGUAAGCCUGCAGUCCCGGGUGCGGGGUAAAGGGCCCGUAGC
rnacentral:SRP_RNA from 1 species